UGUGCUCUCCAGUUUCCAAGGAGCUGCAUGCCUGAAAGAUUUGAGAUACAAUGCAGAAGGGAAUCCAGGACCCAGAACCAGGCCAAGAUACACACUACUUAUAGGAAGACACCCAGGGGCAUCUGCCUUAAUCAUGCCACGCUGCUGCCCAUGUUUACAAAGGAGGACAGGGAAGAGGUAUCAAAACCAGACACACAUUUCCCAGGAGAGGAUGAAAUACCGAAGGAAAUCGGAAUUUCACUAGAACAGGAAACCAGAGCUCGGGAGGCUCCAGAGUUCUGCGGAAGAGACCGAGAAACAAAGAGCCCAGGGUAAAUAUAUUCAAAACCCCUUUGGAGACCGGGGAGGCACUGACAGGCUGGAGAGCCCUUAAUGAAACACACCCAGGCACAUAGCAUCGUGCAGAGAUCUACGAGCCCUCCAGAGGUUCAAGCAUGACUUCAGCAGAGGAGAAGAGGCAGGAAAGUCUUACAAGAAUAGGGGAGCCCCUCACCCCACUUCUGUAGGGGGCGACAAGAAUAUGGUGCUAAAGAAAAAAGAAACCUGCCUGAGUGUUUGUCCCUUGUCAAAAACUUCCUCUUAUUUGUGAUUCUAUAAAUACAGAACAAAGGACAAACACUGUACCUGAGCUCAUCAAGAGCUGGUAAACAUAUGUAUCCAUGUGUCUUCUUCCCAAGGCUUUCUAUAUGUAUUAUCACACAAGGCACCCAACACAAUGGACUCCAAUUCCCACUGCAGGUUUUAGGUAUUACUGUGACUAAAUAUCUGCUUUUAUUAUUACUACCCAGAGAGAAAGUACUGGAGACAGAGCAGCCAGGGAAGUGGCUGGAGCACGGGGGUAGUAAUCGAAGUUAGGACAAUCAUUAUGCACGUUGUGUAUCGGUGACCUGGAAUUCAAUUCCAUGGUGAAAUUGACCUGGGAUGAGGGAUGCGAUUGUGUUUGAUUUAGGCAGAGCAGGGGACCAGCAAACGAAUGAAGAGAUGUAGGAAAUAAGGCUCCAAACCAAAAACAUCAUGGAAAAUAUCUGUAGUGUUUUGUGGUCAGUGAACAGGAGGAGAGGUGUGUGGUCUUUUGUAGAGACCUACAGGAUUUACCCCCAACACCUAGAAACAAUAGAACAAGCAAUUUAAGUCUGAUUGUGUGAAAUGUGGGAAGGAGAUCUGACCAGUACAGUACUUCAGCCAAUUAAAAAAAUGGUUCUAGGCCAUAUCUAGAAGUCUAUGUACUGAACUGGCUGCUUCAUAGCAGGGAUACUAUAGGAAUGCAAUAGUAGAAGCAGCAAGAACACCAGAGUGAAUCAUCAGCUACUGAAUAGUAUAGAAACACUUGUAUAUGCAUGUCUACCUUCUGAAGACAAGCAUGCACAGAAGGGAGAGGAGCUCUGGGAAUGCUCACAGGCUAUUUGGAAGAGGCAUAAGGAGGUUAUUUAAAUUCGCUAGAUAGGAGGAUGUUGUAGGGGUAGAACUGAAGGAAUUUGAUCAGGUUUCUCGAAGAACAUAGCAAGAUCCAGAGAUGGGCAUUUACAUAGAUGACAAGAACAGUAGUUGCAAUGAAAAGUUUUAGAAAGGCUAGAAAAGCUCAUGCUUGCAAGGUUUCAGCUCAUCUCUAACCAUUAGGGAUUAUGAAAAGGAUUUCACACUGCUUCUUACAGGCUUUAUCACUUUGUCCUUUGAUGUAUCUGGUACUGGCCUCCAUCAGACACAAAAUACUGCAGUGGAGAGCAGAUCUGCUACUGCAGUUCCUCUGGUUAUGCAGUCUUUCCUGAGUGUCUCAUUGAUGUCUGCCUUCAUUUGAGACCAGGUAAGAGAGAGAAGACAGCUAUGUGCUUGUAGUGUCCCUACCCAGGCUCCAUGAUGCAUGCAGUUAUAUGCAUACAUGCCCCCAUACUUUGCAGGCCUUGACAAAUGCACGCAAGCACAGGCACAAGAGUAGAAUAGGCUCAGGCAGAUGUCUGGGGUUGAAAAUCAGUGCUGAAAGUGAAACGUACUUCUUUGUCACUGAUAAAUGACAGAAAGGAGCUGUGCAGCUGAAAGAAUAAGGCAUCUGAUGGGAGAAAAUGGCAGAAGAGAGCAGGUUCAAGCCAGGCUUAAGCCUGAUUUGAUUUAAUGGGGUUACAAGGACAUCUCAAUGAUCACUUAUUGGCAUUUAACUUUUGAGUGCCAAAAAGUCAAGGAUGCUCAUGGCUGGACCACUUUCAUAAAAAGCAAUACUCAGUGGCAUGCAGGAGCACCCAGAAAGUACCCAGGAAGACCAUACAAAUACCAGGUGAUGCACAACACAAUGUUGUAGGGCUUGGAAAGCAAAAGGAAAUCUGGUUCCAAGGUAGCUUCCAGUUUGAAUAACCUUGGUUGUCCAGUUAUGCCAAACCACGGGAAGCUUUGUUAAGUAGGCUGCACAACAUUACAGAGGACUUAGGCAUAAGUGGGAGGUGGAACAGCUUAAAGAGGAGGACUCAGAACACCCAUUUGAUAUGAAAGACAAGUUGGUUGAAGACCAUGUUCUCUUCUGGUUUGAGCCAAUGUAGCUCUUUGGGGGAGUUAUGCUGAAUUAAGCUGGCCAAGGAUCUAGCCCUGAGAGUUUAAGACUUAAAACUUCAACAGUUGGAUAAGUCUAACCUGAUUAGGUCCUACCAAUACAAAACCUGUAAAGGCAACAUUGUCGCUAUGGUCUGGAUAAGUCCCCUAGAUGCUAGUGAAACAGCAGAGAAAGGUGAUUAAGAGAACAUCUUUUAUCAGGAUUCUUACAAAGCAGUUUUGGACAGCCUCUUGUAAGGCUGCCAGGGAGACUAAAUAACUUGGGGGUAAGGGGCAAAGUCUUGCAGUCAAUCAAGGUUACAAAAAA